CUAACUCUCUAUCCCUCUCUCCUCCUCUCUGUAAAAAAAAAUCAAUAAAAUAUAUUUUAAAAAUAAAUAAAUAAAUAAAAUGUCUUAUACCUUCUAACUUGAUCAUAACUGAACAAUACAUCCUGAGGUUUAUAUUUUAGAGAGCUAUUGCUUCUAGUUCUUUUAACCAUUACAGUAGCAUCAUAAAAAGGCUGGUAGAGGAGUCCAUUUUCAAUAAGCUUGUUAAUAAUAACCUGUUUCGUUUUUUUUGUUUGUUUUUUGGUUUUUUUUGGAGCUAGGAAGAGAAAAAAAUUAAUUCCUAGAAUUUGAAAUGAAGAUUUAGUUACUGGUAGCAGUGUAAACAUUCAAACACUGUGUGCCUGAAACAUAUAUAUCAUAGUAGCAGUCUUAAAUCAGUAAUAUAAUAUAAAUGUGAGCUUAAAUUUUUAAGAAAUGUGUAUGUAUGGGAAAUUAAAAAAUGCUUUAGCAAUUUGUUUCCUAAUUAAAGAGUGAUUUUAUUGCUUGACCUGCAUGGCUCAGUGGUUGAGUGUUGACCUAUGAACCAGGAGGUCACACAGUUCGAUUCCCAAUCAGGAUACUUGCAGGCUCCAUGGCAUGCAGCUGAUCAAUGAGGUUUCUAUCUCUCUCUUUCCCUUUCUCUCUGAAAUAAAUAAAUAAUAUAUUUUUAAAAAUUUGUUGAAUGUUUCUCCUGGUUUAUAUAGUUUCUAAACUAAAGUGUAUAUAUAUCUCUGCGGGGUUGGUGGGUCAUAAAGUGUGUGUACAGCUCAUUUUUCUAGAUAAUGCCUAAUUGUUAUUUUCCAAUGUGGUUUAGUCUCCACCAGAAAUGUGAAGUGUUCUGUUACUCUUUGCCAACAUUUGUCAGGCUUUUACAUUUUUGUCAACCUGAUGAACAUAAAAAGAUACCCUGUUGUUUUUAAUUUUCAUUUUCCUGAUUAUCAAUGAAGUGUAGCAUCUUUUGCAGUUUUUUUUUUAAUAAAGCUGUGAAAUGUCAUUUUGUGUCUUUUGUUUGAUUUUAUAUUGUGUACUUUGUCCUUUUUGAUCUAUAGUAGUUCCUUAAAAUAUUUUGGUUAAUACUUUUUAUGUAAUUGUUUUUGCUUUUUGUAAAUUUCUGCAUCCUGUUGUCAAAUAUAUCUUCUUAUAUUUUCUCUAUUUUUAAAUACUUAAAUAUACAUACAGAAGUUUAAAUUAACCUCAAUUUGGUUUUGUUUAAAAAAUGUAAGUUUUUAUAUCUGGCAAGACAAGCCACAAGUUGUGUUCUUUAUCAUAAUCUUAGCCCAUUCUGGGGUUGUUCACCAUAGUACCUGUCCUGAUUUGUAUUAAGACUAUUUUAUAUUUAGGUAGUUUGUUCAUAGAUAUUUUCACCUUUAAUUAUUUUCAGACAUGUAACAUUUAGUCCUAGAGGAUUGUAUUGUCCUUUUAUCCUAAUGGAAGGUUCCAUGAAUAUGUAGUUAAUAUACAAAAGUAUUUCGGACAGCAUUACUAAUAAACAGUGUGGUACUUUUAGAAUCAGAAAUGGAUAUGGUUGAAUCAUUGCUUUACCAAGGUUUCAUGACUUCAAGCAAGCUAUAUAAUCUCUUGAUUUUUUUCACCAAUGAAACCUGGCACAU